rnacentral:rRNA from 1 species
UACGGGGGGGGCAAGCGUUGUUCAGAAUUACUGGGCGUAAAGGGCUCGUAGGCGGCCAACUAAGUCAGACGUGAAAUCCCUCGGCUUAACCGGGGAACUGCGUCUGAUACUGGAUGGCUUGGAUUUGGGAGAGGAAUGCGGAAUUCCAGGUGUAGCGGUGAAAUGCGUAGAUAUCUGGAGGAACACCGGUGGCGAAGGCGGCAUUCUGGACCAAUAUUGACGCUGAGGAGCGAAAGCCAGGGGAGCAAACGGG